UGUAAAAGUUUCUUGAGGCUGGAUGGAGAUUGGCCUUUCAAUGCAAAGGUAGAAGGGAGUUUAACUGUAAGACUCAACCAUCGAGCAAGGACAAAGUUGGCUUUAGU
rnacentral:rRNA from 1 species